rnacentral:rRNA from 1 species
GAUGAACGCUGGCGGCGUGCUUAACACAUGCAAGUCGAACGGAAAGGCCCAAUCUUGCUUGGGUACUCGAGUGGCGAACGGGUGAUUCACCCGUGGGUGCUCUGCCCUGCACUUCGGGAUAAGCCUGGGUAUCUUGGUCUAAUACCCGAUCUGCCCACAUUUUCGAUGGUGUGCUGGAAAGUUUUUCGGUGUGGGAUGGGCUCGCGGCCUAUCAGCUUGUUGGUGGGGUAAUGGCCUACCAAGGCGGCGAAGGGUAGCCGGCCUGAGAGGGUGUACGGCCACAUUGGGACUGAGAUAGGGACCAGACUCGUAUGGGAGGCAGUAGGGGGGAAUAUGGCACAAUGGGCGCAAGCGUGAGGCAGCGACGCUGGGGGGGUGAUGAGGGCCUGCGGGGUGUAAACUCCUUUCGCUAGGGACGAAGCGGAAGUGACGGUACCUGGAGAAGAAGCACCGGCUAACUACGUG